rnacentral:rRNA from 1 species
AUUGAACGCUGGCGGCAUGCUUUACACAUGCAAGUCGAACGGUAACAGGCCUUCGGGUGCUGACGAGUGGCGAACGGGUGAGUAAUGCAUCGGAACGUGCCCAGAGGUGGGGGAUAACGCAGCGAAAGCUGUGCUAAUACCGCAUGUGAUCUGAGGAUGAAAGCGGGGGACCAGGCAGCAAUGUUUGGCCUCGCGCCUUUGGAGCGGCCGAUGUCAGAUUAGGUAGUUGGUGGGGUAAAGGCCUACCAAGCCGACGAUCUGUAGCUGGUCUGAGAGGACGACCAGCCACACUGGGACUGAGACACGGCCCAGACUCCUACGGGAGGCAGCAGUGGGGAAUUUUGGACAAUGGGAGCAAGCCUGAUCCAGCAAUGCCGCGUGCGGGAAGAAGGCCUUCGGGUUGUAAACCGCUUUUGUACGGAACGAAAAGGCUCUGGCUAAUACCUGGGGCUGAUGACGGUACCGUAAGAAUAAGCACCGGCUAACUACGUG